rnacentral:misc_RNA from 1 species
CCAAACUUGGUCAUUUAGAGGAAGUAAAAGUCGUAACAAGGUCUCCGUUGGUGAACCAGCGGAGGGAUCAUUACCAGAGUUGAAAAACUCCCUAAACACUUGUGAACCUACCCGUAUCGUUGCUUCGGCGGGCGGCCCCAGGGGGGGCCUCUGCCCCUCGCGGGGCGCCCGCCGGAGGUACCAAACUCUGUGUUACCGUCUGCCUCUCUGAGAAAAUACGCAAGUCAAAACUUUCAACAACGGAUCUCUUGGUUCUGGCAUCGAUGAAGAACGCAGC